rnacentral:rRNA from 1 species
AGAGUUUGAUCAUGGCUCAGAUUGAACGCUGGCGGCAGGCCUAACACAUGCAAGUCGAACGGUAACAGGAAGCAGCUUGCUGCUUCGCUGACGAGUGGCGGACGGGUGAGUAAUGUCUGGGAAGCUGCCUGAUGGAGGGGGAUAACUACUGGAAACGGUAGCUAAUACCGCAUAAUGUCGCAAGACCAAAGAGGGGGACCUUCGGGCCUCUUGCCAUCGGAUGUGCCCAGAUGGGAUUAGCUUGUUGGUGGGGUAACGGCUCACCAAGGCGACGAUCCCUAGCUGGUCUGAGAGGAUGACCAGCCACACUGGAACUGAGACGCGGUCCAGACUCCUACGGGAGGCAGCAGUGGGGAAUAUUGCACAAUGGGCGCAAGCCUGAUGCAGCCAUGCCGCGUGUAUGAAGAAGGCCUUCGGGUUGUAAAGUACUUUCAGCGGGGAGGAAGGGAGUAAAGUUAAUACCUUUGCUCAUUGACGUUACCCGCAGAAGAAGCACCGGCUAACUCCGUGCCAGCAGCCGCGGUAAUACGGAGGGUGCAAGCGUUAAUCGGAAUUACUGGGCGUAAAGCGCACGCAGGCGGUUUGUUAAGUCAGAUGUGAAAUCCCCGGGCUCAACCUGGGAACUGCAUCUGAUACUGGCAAGCUUGAGUCUCGUAGAGGGGGGUAGAAUUCCAGGUGUAGCGGUGAAAUGCGUAGAGAUCUGGAGGAAUACCGGUGGCGAAGGCGGCCCCCUGGACGAAGACUGACGCUCAGGUGCGAAAGCGUGGGGAGCAAACAGGAUUAGAUACCCUGGUAGUCCACGCCGUAAACGAUGUCGACUUGGAGGUUGUGCCCUUGAGGCGUGGCUUCCGGAGCUAACGCGUUAAGUCGACCGCCUGGGGAGUACGGCCGCAAGGUUAAAACUCAAAUGAAUUGACGGGGGCCCGCACAAGCGGUGGAGCAUGUGGUUUAAUUCGAUGCAACGCGAAGAACCUUACCUGGUCUUGACAUCCACGGAAGUUUUCAGAGAUGAGAAUGUGCCUUCGGGAACCGUGAGACAGGUGCUGCAUGGCUGUCGUCAGCUCGUGUUGUGAAAUGUUGGGUUAAGUCCCGCAACGAGCGCAACCCUUAUCCUUUGUUGCCAGCGGUCCGGCCGGGAACUCAAAGGAGACUGCCAGUGAUAAACUGGAGGAAGGUGGGGAUGACGUCAAGUCAUCAUGGCCCUUACGACCAGGGCUACACACGUGCUACAAUGGCGCAUACAAAGAGAAGCGACCUCGCGAGAGCAAGCGGACCUCAUAAAGUGCGUCGUAGUCCGGAUUGGAGUCUGCAACUCGACUCCAUGAAGUCGGAAUCGCUAGUAAUCGUGGAUCAGAAUGCCACGGUGAAUACGUUCCCGGGCCUUGUACACACCGCCCGUCACACCAUGGGAGUGGGUUGCAAAAGAAGUAGGUAGCUUAACCUUCGGGAGGGCGCUUACCACUUUGUGAUUCAUGACUGGGGUGAAGUCGAAACAAGGUA